CGAAUCUUAAGCAUCGUCCUGGUGAAUAAUGAUAGACAGAAAGUUAUCUUCUCAAUUUUGGGACUGAAGUCGAAACAUAAUAAAAUUGGCUUGAAUAAAACAAGAGCAUCUGCUGAACAAAAAAUUUCAACGAACAGAGAGAAAAUAAAAUAAAAAUUUUCAUGUGUGUUAGGUAAAUACUUAUCCGUCAAGAAAAUUGAUAGAACACUGACCAUAUGAGAAAAUUAUUCUUGCUGCUAUGCUGCUAAAUUAUAAGGUUAAAAGAUGAAUACAUAGUGAAAUUGGAUUGCUCUAAGACAGGCGGGAGAUAAAAAUUUGUUAUCUAUACAAUAUGAUUUUUAUUUUAAAACGAAUCGACAUUAUUCGCGCGCGGAUUAGCGGAGGAUGUUAUCGUAAAUGUAUCGAACGCGUUUUGUUCUCGUGCAUUUAAAUAAAACUAGCCAGUUUUUAUUUUAAGGACGUAAUUAUAAUUCGUGGUAUCAAAAUAUUCUAAUGGUGAACAUUUAUCAGAGACCUUCUGCCAGAUUCCAUGAAUAAUAAUUGUACCUAUAUUUAUUAACUAGCACAUAGGUGAUGACAAUCGGCAGUAAACAGGACGUUAUUUUAUCCAAAUUGAACAAUCCAUCUAAGCGCCAAAUCAGCUAAGACCGCAAUGGAGCCGGUUGUAAAUGUGAUUAUAAUAGUGUUUAUAGUAGCAAUAAUAACACUUCUUCUGAAAUGCUGUAACGACUGUAUUAGAGGUGGUAAUAAUAAUAAUUAUCUGGGAAGAACCCCUAAAGCGGAUUAUCGUUAUUAUCCUAACAGCAGCAAUGUCGGUGGGGUGGGAGUAGACGGAGCAAGUGUGAGUGUUGCAGGAUUUGAUGGUGGGGGAGCUGGAUAUGAUGGUGGGGGUGGUGCGAUGGAUAGCGGUGGUGGUGGCGGUGGGUUUGAUGGUAGCGGUGGAGGAGGUGAUAGUGGUGGUGGUGGAGGAGGUGGUGAUAGUGGCGGUGGCGGAGGGGGUGAGUAAGAAUUAAAAUUAUCAUACUCAUUAGGUUGGGUACUCUUUUACUCCAUCUUCUGCAAAAUGAUAUGGGGAUUCGAAAAACACGGGGGGGGGGGGUAAAACAUAGAUAUACCAUGGUAAAAUUUUUGGGUCUCAGGCUCAUGCUCAUACCUCUGUCUGUCUACCGCGCUUUAAAAUUUUAAAAUUUAUUAUUCAGAAAAUCGCUAGAAAAUUUAGAAAUUUAUUUCAACAAUGAUUGAUUAAAUAUCUAGGUAAGUAGCCUAUGUAGGGUACCUAUUUGAAAGUUGAAAAAAAAGUUUUUGAAAUUUUCAUAGAACUUCAGAAUAAUUACCUACUUCAAAAAUCGUCAACACCUGAUAUUAAGAUAUAUUUUUUUUUUUUGAAAAAAAUUAAUUUUAUUUUCAAUUUAAAUUCAAAAGUUUAAAAUCCCAAUAGAUUUUUCCAUGUUUCUUUUAAUACCAUAUCAAGCUUUUUUUGAAAUCUCCCUUCAACUUUCUGGGAAAAAAGUCGAAGAUGACCCACCUUGACUUAGAGUUUAUAAUAUUACCCAUAGGCAUGGAUAUUUUUGCAUGCAUUACUUACCUGCGUCAAAGAAUAAUUGUGAUAUUAAUUUUUACAAUGAAGUAGAUAUGGUAGAAUUUAAGAAUGUACAUAGGCUUAUAUCUAUCCUAAAUUAAACUGUAUGUUGAAAAUUCUUAUUGAAAAAUAAUAAAUUCAGGAAGUUGGUUGGUAUAUCUAUCUUUUAAAAAAAAUUCAUAUAGAGAAAUGCCUGCAUGGUAGUCGUUGAAAUGACAUUUUGGCGUUUUAAUGCCUGUUUUUCACAAUGGAAAAUGUGUCCUGCUGAAUGUGUAGUGUACCAUUGUGUACCUUUUAGGCCUACCUAUCGGCUAUCACUCGGGUCUCAGGUAUUGAAUAAAUACUUCUUCUGUACACGUGUACAGUUAAUAGCUAUGUAGCAACCAACAAGUAAACACAAAACAGCUGAAAAUACCUGCUGGUAUCUUUUCGAGCAGUGAUGCAACUCACAAAAAAGUUGACUGCUUUUUGUUUAAAACUUCUACUCAAUUCAUUUAAACUCAAUAUCUACUUAAUAAUUAAUUAAAGGGUAGAAAACUAUAUUUGAAAAUAAUUGUGAUAAAAGAUAGAUACGAAUUCUCACACUGUACAAAAUCCGCACAUGCGGCAUUUACUUGUAAGUAUAAUAUUCCAAAACAUUGUAUGUAUCAUUCUGGAUUUUUGUAAAAGAAAAGAACCACGUAGAGAAUGUUUUCGUUCGCUGGAAGAGGAACAAUAGUCCAUUUUGUUUGUACUAUAGGUAUGCGAUGUCACGUAGAGGGGUAGAAAAGAAUUAUAGGUCUUUAUCUACCUGUAGUCCUCUGGAGGCGAUGCAACCUUGCACUCGAAUGUUAUCUAGCUGUUAUCUACAAUGUAAAUAAGUGAAUGUAUAAUGUUCUGUUUUUAAAUAAAACCACGCUGUUGUCAAAUUUGGAGCACAUACCUGAUACCUAAGGAAUUUCUUGAAUAAAAAUAUUCGAAUGCUGAUCAUCAAAUGUUAAGGCGGACUUGAUGAAUUAUUUUUCAUGCGUGAACGACGAUUACAGUCAUAUGUACAGCAAAUAGAUUUCCAUACUUAUACCUACUCGUAUGAACCAUAAACGGAUCGUCAAAUCAGUUAAACUUGCAAUGGAGGACAUUAAUAUCACCUUACUCCAGAUUUUAAUAGCAGUAAUCCUAGGCUCAGUAUUGUUAGUGGCGAUCAUACUUGUAGUGAAAUUCUUUGUUAAAUGUUGCGAUCGUAAAUGUUGUGGUGGUGAAAGUGAUCAAACUCAAAGAACCAGCAAUCACCGAAGAGGGAGAAUCUCAGACGUGAAUCACUCGUAUUAUAAUAAUCACGAUAACAGUAAUUCAUUUGGUCUCGCCGGCGUCCCCGGAUUUAAUUUGUUUGGAAUGGGGGCAAAUAAUAGUGGAUGUGUCAGUAGUGAUAUCACAUAUUUUAGCGGAGGUGGUAAUAAUUCAUGUGAUAUUGGCGGAGGUGGUGGAUUUGGAGGGGGUGGAUUCGACUGUGGUGGAGGAGGUGGAGGUGGAGGCGGUUUUGAUGGUGGUGGAGGUGGAGCAUGCGGCUGUGAUUAAAUUCUGUUCAAGUUGUACGUACAUAUUUAUGUUCAACUUUUAUACUUACAAUAUUACAUAAGUACCUAUCAGUUUUUUGUAUGUGUUGAAAUUGUGAUAUUUUAAAAAUAGGUAGCUAGGGGUUCUAAGGUUAAUUUACGUAGGUAGAUACGAGUAUGUUUUAUAAAUAACCAGAAAUCGAAAAAAAAACAUUAAUCAUAGACAUUUUUAUCCGAUUCUGAUUUUUGAAAUUCUGUUCUUUAUUUCUUGUCUGCUGAAUUCCCAAGCUCGAGAUAUUUAUGUGGUUUAUUUCAAAUUACCAUGCAGAACUGUCCCGGUAAUCUAUUUAAUUGAACAUUGAAUAGAAUUGAAAUUGUUCAUUUACAAAGAACAUACUUAGUUCAUAGAUGUGAAAAAGACCCAAAAGAGGAAGUCGAACUGAUGAAUGUUUAAUGUCUUCAAUGAUAUCACAAUUCAUAGUCUAAAGUUCAUACAGUCGUUAGUCUUGCUGAUGUUCCUAAA